GAUGAACGCUGGCAGCGUGCCUAAUACAUGCAAGUCGAGCGAACCACUUCGGUGGAGAGCGGCGAACGGGUGAGUAACACGCAGGUCAUCUACCCAUUAGACGGGGAUAACGUUUGGAAACGAACGCUAAUACCGGAUAGGAAGAAAUUUUAAAGGUGCUUUCGGGCACCGCUAAUGGAUGAGCCUGCGGCGCAUUAGCUAGUUGGUAAGGUAAGAGCUUACCAAGGCGACGAUGCGUAGCCGACCUGAGAGGGUGAACGGCCACACUGGGACUGCGACACGGCCCAGACUCCUACGGGAGGCAGCAGUAGGGAAUCUUCGGCAAUGGACGAAAGUCUGACCGAGCAACGCCGCGUGAAUGAAGAAGGCCUUCGGGUUGUAAAAUUCUGUUAUAAGGGAAGAAAGACUAUAGUAGGAAAUGGCUAUAGAGUGACGGUACCUUAUGAGAAAGCCACGGCUAACUACGUGCCAGCCGCCGCCGUAACAC
rnacentral:rRNA from 1 species